rnacentral:rRNA from 1 species
GACGAACGCUGGCGGCGUGCUUAACACAUGCAAGUCGAACGGUGAAAGCGGAGCUUGCUCCGCUGGAUCAGUGGCGAACGGGUGAGUAACACGUGGGCAACCUGCCCCUCACUUCGGGAUAACUCCGGGAAACCGGGGCUAAUACCGGAUAUGACCUCCUUGGGCAUCCUUGGAGGUGGAAAGUUUUUCGGUGGGGGAUGGGCCCGCGGCCUAUCAGCUUGUUGGUGAGGUAGUGGCUCACCAAGGCGACGACGGGUAGCCGGCCUGAGAGGGCGACCGGCCACACUGGGACUGAGACACGGCCCAGACACCUACGGGAGGCAGCAGUGGGGAAUAUUGCGCAAUGGGCGAAAGCCUGACGCAGCAACGCCGCGUGCGGGAUGACGGCCUUCGGGUUGUAAACCGCUUUCAGCAGGGAAGAAGCCGCAAGGUGACGGUACCUGCAGAAGAAGCACCGGCUAACUACGUGCCAGCAGCCGCAGUAA